rnacentral:rRNA from 1 species
AUUGAACGCUGGCGGCAGGCUUAACACAUGCAAGUCGAGCGGAGGCUUCGGUCUUAGCGGCGAACGGGUGAGUAAUACCUAGGAAUCUGCCUAUUAGUGGGGGAUAACGAAUCGAAAGGUUCGCUAAUACCGCAUACGUCCUACGGGAGAAAGGGGGGAGUCUUCGGACCUCUCGCUAAUAGAUGAGCCUAGGCCGGAUUAGCUAGUUGGUAGGGUAAAGGCCUACCAAGGCGACGAUCUGUAGCUGGUCUGAGAGGAUGGCCAGCCACACUGGAACUGAGACACGGUCCAGACUCCUACGGGAGGCAGCAGUGGGGGAAUAUUGGACAAUGGGGGCGAACCCUGAUCCAGCCAUGCCGCGUGUGUGAAGAAGGCCUCGGUUGGUAAG